GAGGCAGAAUAACUAAAUAGGACAAUUGGAGAAACUGGGUGGGUCAAGACAUUAAAAAGGGAACUUUGGCACAACAAUUAGUUGUUACACAUGAAGCAUCUUAGGCAUUUACUCCUUUCUCUUUGCUCAUAUGAACAUUACUUAUCCUGGUUUACACUCUUGUUGUCUCUAGGUAGGAGUAUUUAAAUAAUAUUUUUCUAAAUAGCGUUGUUAUUGAUAACUUUUCUUUAAAAGAUUGUCAAUAUAUCUCCGUGUUUUUUCUCACUUGCAUAGAUUUCUCACAUACUUUAUAAAUACUUUACAACACUGAAUAGAAAAGGCAAAAAGGGAAAAACAUUAGCCACCCCAAAGCAUUGAAAUUAUAGGCAAUAUUAAAGUCUCUUGUACUUCCAAUUGUGCAAGGAGGUGAGGCUAGAGAAUCCCUUCUUAAACCUCCUAUUGCAAGGUCUGGCUUGAUGUUGCAAGUCUGUAAAGAUAAAAACGGCCUUCAUUGAGAUGCAGAUUAAAGAAAGAUUCCUUCAGAUAUGUCAUUAGAAUUUCUUUUCUGAAUUUGUCAGUCUGGACUGCUGGGAAUUUACUCCUGUUUAUUAGGUUUCUUAGAAGGUUUUCCCUUGAUGAAAUUAGUAGCCUGAAUGCUUUUGAUCUUAUGGAUCUUUCUUACUUACAAUUUUUGUAAGUUGGUUCAAAGUCCUUAUGAUACUACCACAUAUCUGUCUUGGAAGCGGUUUGUGCAGGAAAUGACUUAUCUCUUUCAAAACCCUUUUUCUGACUGGGGGAAUAAUUCAUCAGAGCAUACAUUCAGAGUCUUCUCAGUUUAUUGAUUUCACAAAUUUUGACUUGAUUUUUAUUAGAAAUUUGUUUUACUUGUCUCUUCUAAAAAAGGUUUCUUGUCCUGAGGAGAACACAGGAGAAGCUUUGGAAUUAAAAACUUCCACUAAGGAGAAGAAAAAUAAAGAAAAUGUAUUUGUUAAGGAUCUGGAAAAUUUAAAUGCUGAUGCUUCAUAAAUGGGUAUCUCGCUGGACAGCCAGGAACACUCAUGAACUUGCAAGGGGUUUAAGAAUGUUAGAAUCCUUUUGGAAAUUGUAAUAGCUUCCUAAUCAAAUUACAAAAGUUACAGAAAUUGGUACUGCCAUCAUUUUAAUGAGAAUAAACUAAAUGGAAUGUAGACUACAAACAUGAAAAAAGGGUAGCUACUUUUAAAGAGCCUCUUUGUAAUCUAGUGUCACUCUAAAAGCUUGGAGAUGCCUGAACAAUCGGGUAUGUUGAGACUAGCUGAAAAAAUUCUAUAUGUGACAGAAACAGUAAUAAUAUCAUGAACUAAUCUCUAUGAAUUUAAGGAAAAUUCUAGAGACAUCUUUGUGAAUGGAUAUAAUCCCACCUUAGAACCAUAAUAAAACAUAAGCAAUAAUUGAGUAAGCACUCACACUAAAACCCUAUUAAGACACACAAGAGAAAAAUAAGAAGUUGUCAAUAAUAGAUUUCCAAGCAUGGAAUUCAGUACACUUGAUUUACUCAACUCUUAAAAGUGAAAGAAGUGGGGAUACAAACACAAGACCCUUAAUAGUCAAAUGAGUAUUCUUCUCUGUUGAAAAACACUCUGGUCUUUUUGUUUUACAGAGAAAAUGAACAGAACCAAAGUAAAAGAAGAUGAAAUGGAAACUAAGAAAGAGUCAAGGCCUCCCAGGCGAAAAAUCCAACAAAUGUGGCAUGCCCUGGUGAAAAGAUUGCGCCCAAGGCGCAAUCAAGUGAGGCCAGAAGAGUUGAACGUAGAAGAGGGAAAAGAUAUAUCAAAUAUGC